ACAAUUGUAAAAUAUUACUUGCCCGCCAUGGCGGUACGCCUAUCUAUCAACAGCGUGUUUUAUUUGAACAUUUUUCUCUGUACUUUAAAUUCAUAACGGAAAGAAAAUUGCUAUGAAGUGAUAUAUACCAGAUUCCUCAAAUGAACAUGUUGAUUUGGGUUGUCAUAUUUUGUUCUUUCCUGUCACUUUCAAAUGCAAUGGCAUCAAAAGCUUGCUGGGCCGGCUCUCAAAAACAAGAAUGUCUGUAUGACACAGUCUUACAAGGGCGAGAAGGAAUGAUGAUAAGCUACUAUCUAUCAAUUCCAUUUUCUCGGAUUUGUUGCGAAGCCCUAAGUUGUACCCUGAAGACAAGAAGGUGUGAAUUUAAAUACGCUGGAUGUCAUGAUAACAGCACAGUUAACAUCCAAACUCGACCAAGACUUUGGGGACUCCAAAACAUACCUACAAUGAUGCGUUGCAGCGAUGUGCAAGGCAAUGGUGCAUUUUAUUGGUUUUGGACUCAAAUUGUGCAGGAAGAACCCUUUUAUGAUGCGGUACUAUGAUUUAAAAUCGACUUGAUGUGUUUACAAAGUAUUAUAAAUGCUUAUGAUACUUGUCUUACAUUCUUGUGUUUGUGUUUUUGUUUCCUUUGAAACGCCCCAUUAUAAAACAUGUAUUUUUGGAUUUCGCUGAAGGUAUCAUUCGGCAUGUUCAUUGGUGGUAGAACUAAUGUUAAUUCUGUCAAACUUCAUUAAAUUUUAAUGACAUUCUUGCUAAGUAUUGUGUACAUUGCAGAAGAACAAAAAUACAGAAAGUACAAACUUUA